CCUACGGGAGGCAGCAGUGAGGAAUAUUGGUCAAUGGGCGAGAGCCUGAACCAGCCAAGUCGCGUGAAGGAUGACGGCCCUACGGGUUGUAACCUUCUUUUGUCAGGGAGCAAUUGAGUCCACGUGUGGUCUUAGCGAUAGUACCUGAAGAAAAAGCAUCGGCUAACUACGUGCCAGCCGCCGCGGUAAUACGGAGGAUGCGAGCGUUAUCCGGAUUUAUUGGGUUAAAGGGGUGCGUAGGCGGAAUAUAUAGUCAGCGGUAAACAUUCGGGGCUCAAGCCCGUCGUGCCGUUGAAACUGAUGUUCUUGAGUGGGCGAGAAGUAUGCGGAAUGCGUGGUGUAGCGGUGAAAGGCAUAGAUAUCACGCAGAACUCCGAUUGCGAAGGCAGCAUACCGGCGCCCAACUGACGCUGAAGCACGAAAGCGUGGGUAUCGAACAGGAUUAGAUACCCCUGUAGUC
rnacentral:rRNA from 1 species